UGGGGUGUAGCCAAGCGGUAAGGCACAGGACUUUGGAUCCUGCAUUCCGUAGGUUCGAAUCCUACCGCCCCAGCCA
rnacentral:tRNA from 1 species